rnacentral:rRNA from 1 species
UACGAAGGGGGCUAGCGUUGUUCGGAUUCACUGGGCGUAAAGGGUGCGUAGGUGGUCGGGUAAGUCUGAUGUGAAAUCUCCGAGCUCAACUCGGAAAUGGCAUUGGAUACUAUUCGGCUGGAGGGUUGGAGGGGGGACUGGAAUACUUGGUGUAGCAGUGAAAUGCGUAGAUAUCAAGUGGAACACCAGUGGCGAAGGCGAGUCCCUGGACAACUCCUGACACUGAGGCACGAAAGCUAGGGGAGCAAACAGG